rnacentral:rRNA from 1 species
UUAGUCAAUGCUCGCAAGAGUGAACUAGCUAACUGAAAUCACAGGAUCCGCUAUGUGUGGUGAAUGUAAUAACGUAAGGGAAAAAAAUGAUAUUACCUUACUAUUAGUGUUGUCCAAAACUGGUGCCAGAAGACUCGGUAAGGCCAGAGACGCAAACGUUAGUCGUCCUAAUCAGGCGUAAAGGGUAUGUAGGCUGCUUUAAAAUUUUUAUAAUUAUAUAGCUAUGUAAAUAUAAAUCCUUUAAUUUAUAAUUACAAUAAAAUAUAAAAUGAAUUAAAGCUAGAAUCAAAUUGAGGAUAAAUCAAAUAAUACCUAGUGUAGGGUUUGAAUCUGACGAUAUUAGGUAGAGUACUAAUGGUGAAAGCUUUUUAUCUAGAAAUGAUUGACGCUGAGAAACGAAGGUGAGAAUAGGAAAUAGGAUUAGAUACCCAGAUACCUCUCACAGUCAACGAUGAAUGGUGGUUGUUAGUUAGUUUAUAUUUAACUGAUAACGAUGUUAACACGAUAACCAUUCCGCCUUGCGAGUACGGUUGCAAAACUGAAACCAAAAAAAUUAGUCGGUCUCGAA